GAUGAACGCUGGCGGCGUGCCUAAUACAUGCAAGUCGAGCGAACGGACGAGAAGCUUGCUCCUCUGACGUUAGCGGCGGACGGGUGAGUAACACGUGGAUAACCUACCUAUAAGACUGGGAUAACUUCGGGAAACCGGAGCUAAUACCGGAUAAUAUAUUGAACCGCAUGGUUCAAAAGUGAAAGACGGUUUUGCUGUCACUUAUAGAUGGAUCCGCGCUGCAUUAGCUAGUUGGUAAGGUAACGGCUUACCAAGGCAACGAUGCGUAGCCGACCUGAGAGGGUGAUCGGCCACACUGGAACUGAGACACGGUCCAGACUCCUACGGGAGGCAGCAGUAGGGAAUCUUCCGCAAUGGGCGAAAGCCUGACGGAGCAACGCCGCGUGAGUGAUGAAGGUCUUCGGAUCGUAAAACUCUGUUAUUAGGGAAGAACAAAUGUGUAAGUAACUAUGCACAUCUUGACGGUACCUAAUCAGAAAGCCACGGCUAACUACGUG
rnacentral:rRNA from 1 species